rnacentral:lncRNA from 1 species
CGUGGAGAUGCGAUGGAUGCAAAAAGAAUGCAUGCACCCGCGGGACCUUCCAAUUAAGACUGUAAAUGGAUUGAAUUGAUCAAUCUGAUCCGUUUAGAUUUGAUCUGAUCUAUUUUUAAAAAUCUAUAGAUCUGGAUUAGAUUUUAAAAUGAGAUAUACUUUAUUUUUUGAAUCAAAUCUAAAUUUAAUGUGUUCGAAUCUAACUCAAUCUAAUCCA